UCGAGCGUCAUUAUAACCACUCAAGCUCUCGCUUGGUAUUGGGGUUCGCGGUUUCGCGGCCCCUAAAAUCAGUGGCGGUGCCUGUCGGCUCUACGCGUAGUAAUACUCCUCGCGAUUGAGUCCGGUAGGUCUACUUGCCAGCAACCCCUAAUUUUUUUAAGGUUGACCUCGGAUCAGGUAGGGAUACCCGCUGAACUUAA
rnacentral:misc_RNA from 1 species